rnacentral:rRNA from 1 species
AACGAACGCUGGCGGCAUGCCUAACACAUGCAAGUCGAACGAGACCUUCGGGUCUAGUGGCGCACGGGUGCGUAACGCGUGGGAACCUGCCCUUAGGUUCGGAAUAACUCCCCGAAAGGGGUGCUAAUACCGGAUAAUGUCUUCGGACCAAAGAUUUAUCGCCUUUGGAUGGGCCCGCGUUGGAUUAGCUAGUUGGUAGGGUAAAAGCCUACCAAGGCGACGAUCCAUAGCUGGUCUGAGAGGAUGAUCAGCCACACUGGGACUGAGACACGGCCCAGACUCCUACGGGAGGCAGCAGUGGGGAAUAUUGGACAAUGGGCGAAAGCCUGAUCCAGCAAUGCCGCGUGAGUGAUGAAGGCCUUAGGGUUGUAAAGCUCUUGUACCCGGGAUGAUAAUGACAGUACCGGGAGAAUAAGCGCCGGCUAACUCCGUG